ACUCAAAGGAAUUGACGGGGACCCGCACAAGCGGUGGAGCAUGUGGUUUAAUUCGAUGCAACGCGAAGAACCUUACCUGGACUUGACAUGUUUUAGAAUCGGGCAGAGAUGCCUGAGUGCUGUUUUACAGAGCUUUAACACAGGUGCUGCAUGGCUGUCGUCAGCUCGUGUCGUGAGAUGUUGGGUUAAGUCCCGCAACGAGCGCAACCCUUGCUCUUAGUUGCCAGCAUUAAGUUGGGGACUCUAAGAGGACUGCCAAUGUAAAAAAUUGGAGGAAGGUGGGGAUGAUGUCAAGUCAUCAUGGUCCUUAUGUCCAGGGCUACACACGUGCUACAAUGGUUGGUACAGAGGGUCGCGAAGCAGUGAUGCGAAGCUAAUCUCAGAAAGCCAAUCUCAGUUCGGAUUGAAGUCUGCAACUCGACUUCAUGAAGCUGGAAUCGCUAGUAAUCGCGUGUCAGCAUAACGCGGUGAAUACGUUCCCGGGUCUUGUACACACCGCCCGU
rnacentral:rRNA from 1 species